UACAGAGGGCUCAAGCGUUGUUCGGAUUCAUUGGGCGUAAAGGGUGCGUAGGUGGCGCUGUAAGUCGGGUGUGAAAUUUCGGAGCUUAACUCCGAAACUGCAUUCGAUACUGCGGUGCUUGAGGACUGGAGAGGAGACUGGAAUUCAUGGUGUAGCAGUGAAAUGCGUAGAGAUCAUGAGGAAGACCAGUGGCGAAGGCGAGUCUCUGGACAGUUCCUGACACUGAGGCACGAAGGCCAGGGGAGCAAACGGG
rnacentral:rRNA from 1 species